ACGCUGGCGGCGUGCUUACACAUGCAAGUCGAACGAGAACUCUUUGAGCUUGCUCGAAGAAAGUAAAGUGGCGCCCGGGUGAGUAACGCGUGAGUAAUCUGUCUUCAAAUUCGGGAGAACCCGCCGAAUGGCGUGCUAAUACCGGAUAACAUCAUGUACGCUGAGGUGUAUGUGAUCAAAGGUAGCCUCUACAAGUAAGCGACUGUUUGGAGAUGAGCCUGCGUACCAUUAGUUAGUUGGCGGGGUAACAGCCCACCAAGGCGACGAUGGUUAGCUGGUCUGAGAGGAUGAUCAGCCACACUGGAACUGACACACGGUCCAGACUCCUACGGGAGGCAGCAGUGAGGAAUUUUGCGCAAUGGGCGGAAGCCUGACGCAGCAACGCCGCGUGAGUGAAGAAGGCCUUCGGGUCGUAAAGCUCUGUCAAAUGGGAAGAACCUGUGCAUGGUAAACAAGUGUGCACACUGACGGUACCAUUGAAGGAAGCACCGGCUAACUCCGUGCCAGCAGCCGCGGUAAUACGGAGGGUGCGAGCGUUAUUCGGAAUUAUUGGGCGUAAAGAGCACGUAGGCGGCAGUGCAAGUCAGGUGUGAAAACCCGGGGCUUAACCUCGGAAGCGCAUUUGAAA
rnacentral:rRNA from 1 species